UAAAGCGCGCGUAGGCGGGUCGGUUAGUCGAUUGUGAAAGCCCUGGGCUCAACCUAGGAAUGGCAGUCGAAACUACCGAUCUUGAGUGCCUGAGAGGAUGGCGGAAUUCCCGGUGUAGUAGUGAAAUACGUAGAUAUCGGGAAGAACACCUGAGGCGAAGGCGGCUAUCUGGCGGUGCACUGACGCUAAGGCGCGAAAGCGUGGGGAGCAAACAGGAUUAGAUACCGGGU
rnacentral:rRNA from 1 species